GCCAUAUAUAUAUAUAUAUAUAUAAACAAAUAAAAUAAUAAUUAAAUAAAUAAAAUAUAUAUAUAUAUACACAUAAUAAAUAUAUAUAAAGUAUAAUUAUAUUGCAACAUUCUGCUAUACAGAUAUGUUGUAUUAUGUCAAAUCUUAAAUUGUGCAGAAGUCAUCUCUGUGUGAUAUGAACAGUUGUUACUGUUAAAAAACAAAAAAAAAAACUUUGUUGCUUCUUCCAGUAUGUUAAAAUGGUGAUAGAGAAGCAAAAGUAACAUCUAGUGUGAUAUUUUUACAGCCUUAAUGUAACUCAUUGCGGCUUCUUGACCAUUCACUCUGCCUCCUCUGCUCUCAAGACAUGCUCAGCCCGUGGUCAUAAAAUAUAUUCGUAGAGCAAAUUAACUUUAUAGUAUUGAAUGCAAGUCUCCAGUAUUUAAGUGCCAGAAGAAAAGCCUUAAUUUAAAAAAUGCCAUAUCAGCAUUUGUGGUUAUGAUUAAUGUUCUAUGUAGUCACCAGAGCAGGUGUUGCUGAGUCUUGAAGCCAAAUGAAUGGAACCUCAAACAGUAUCACCUUAUUGGUGUUGCUGUAUUCUCACUGGUGAACCUCCAAAUUGUGUUGUGUUUGUGACUUUCUUCCAAGAGCAAUUUAUUGCAAUUUCAUUAUGACAGCUGUCCAGAUAUUGAUGUAUUAUGACAAUGUGAUUUCUGCAUUUUCUGCAUAAUGGUUUAGCAAAUAUUGACACCAUUUAUUAGAUGAAGCAUGUACAUGUUCUGCAUAAAAAUGAACAGAUUAUUCUGCCACUUGAAUGCCCAGUGGUGACCAAAACCAACAUUUCUGACUGUGCCAGUAUCCAACGUGUAUGCAUUUUACAGUAUUCAAUAAUAAGUACAUAUAUUUAAAAAUACUUUUAAAUUCCUAUUUUUCAUUCCCCAAUUUUUAAUUGAGACAAUGUUUUGGUAACAACAAUGUUUAAUUCCAAAUGAAAUUGUAUAGAUGUUGUAUGAGCUCUUCCCAACAGCCAGCACUGUUGGAGGCCCACUGGUACUUAAAAUUGUACAGGGAUGUGACCUAGUCUGUCACGUAGUUGAUUGCGUGAUACUAUCGGUCACAAUAUGUGUGAUACCCAAGUACCUGUGUAAUUUACUGUGUGGCAUAACAAAGUACUCGAAUAAUAUCAUUAUUUCAAAAGUCACUAUGUAGGGGAGUUACUCCUGUUAAGUCACCUGUAUUGUGAUGUGAGACAAAAGUGCAUUUCCUGUAGUUUUCAUUAUGGUGCUUCAGAGAGAAAAGUAUACUUCAGCAUGGGAAAAGGCCUUUUAAUUGCCUUCUUCCUCUUGACAAAUUGGUCUUUCCCAGCUGUAGGAUUCUUCAUCUCUCAAGCAUUUUAGCUUGCCAAAGUUGAAAGAUCAAAGAAGAGAGCUUGCUGAAAUUAUUUUCACCAUUUUGAAACAAACUAUGUACAGUAGAAGUAAUUUGCUCUUUUCUAGCCAUAACUCUCACUCCUUCUUCCAGAUGUAUAUGUGCUUUAUAUCCUAUAUCCCAAGCUGUGUAUGAUGUGAAAAUAUUUGUAUGGAUGAUUUUUCAUUGAAUGAAUCAUAUUGUUUAAAAAAUGCAAAUUUGUAAUCUUUGUCCCAUAUUUAUAAAAAAUUGUUUCCAUUUGAUAUGUUAUAGAUGCAAACAUUAUAAAUAUCUCUUUAAUAAUUUUUAACCUUUUUAUGCUCUAAACUAUGGUAGACAGACAGGCUGAAAAUUUCUUCUUGAUCAACUAUUGUAUUUAGAAUAUUUGUGGUUAAUGUAAUGUUUUGUAUUUAUUUUUAAUCUUGCACACACAAUUUAUUUCUUUUAUAUAUACCAUUCUCAUUAAAUGUUGUACAUUUAAAUUUUGAAACAUAUCAAGUUUAUCAUCAGAUCUUUUUUGUGUGUAUGUGAAUGUAUGUAUGUGUGUUAGGUUCUUCAGGUACAGGUGCUGAUUAGGUAAUCUCUCAAAUUCAGUUGUUAACUAUAAUACAAAAUUGUUUAUCUCAUGAUAUUAAAAGUUCUACAAGAACAAAACUCAUUUGUACUUAAUUUGUGUUGAUAUGUACCUCUUGUAAAUGAGAUUCUCAGAGUGUAGUUCAUUGCAAAUUGUUUUCAGAUGUAUUAGUGCAGAUGAUUCCAAUGGCAAUGAACAUAAUUAUGUGCCAUGAUUUACAAAUUUUUUGCAGCAAUAUAUGUGCACAGAUUCAACGACCAAAGCAAAGUCUGGUAUUUAGUUCAUUUAAAAUAAUUUAUUUAUAUUUUCUCCUAAUGCAUAAUAUUGCCUUACUAUAAGUUUUAUUAUUUCAGUUUUAAAUCAUCUCAGCCUGUCUUUCCUUUUGAAAGAUUUUUGGAUAGAUUAUGUAUUGUAGGUGAGCUCUACCGUCCAAGCCUUUUCCAUAUCCCAGUUUUUAAAAAUAAAGGAAGCAUUGCUUUCCUAUGUUGCCAAUAUAAUCUGUAUUGUACAAGUCAAACUGUUAAUAUACCAAUCCCACGUGAACAUCAUGGUGCUAGUUAGAUAUAUUAUGGUGUUGGACAAUAUUUCACUUGUAACUCUUGUCAAAAUCAAUCAGUGGAGAAAGGCAAGUCUGUGUCACUGAUUUACUGCCAUUUUUCACUAAUGCUGAAUCUGGCAUGUAUAUGUGUAUCUUAAGAAUCAUUGCUUCAUUGGAAAUUUAUCUUAACUGAGAAUAUUUUGCUUUGUGAUUUUCUAUCAGUGAUAUGUUGGCUCAAGGUUUAUUCCAUGACAACAGGGUUGCUUCUCAUUUUGUUUGCAUCCUAGUGAGUUUUGUCUGAGAAAAAAAAAAAAAGUUAAAAAAAAAACUUUUGAAGAAGUUAGUCUAUGUCACUGAUUAGCAGCUAGGUUAUAUAUAAAUAAUAAAAGUGCAUACAUAAAUAUAUAUAUAUAUAUAAUAUAUAUGUAUGUAUGUAAAGUAAGUAUGGAAAUAUAUAUAUAUAUGUAUGUAUGUAUGUAGAAAGACACAGUAUAUA
rnacentral:lncRNA from 1 species